UCGCAGCCCAUCCGGAGCCUCGCGGCGCCCCCGCCGCUCCGCCAGCAGCGCGGCCUCCCGGUUCCCAGCCUCGCGGCCUGGGGGGCCCCCCACCCAGCGGAGUCGCUGACCCCACUCCUCUCCCGCUGCCCCCAGCUGCGCUCGGGCCGCUGCAGCCUCUGCGCACCCCCACCCGCUUCCUGCCCCGUCCGCGAGGCCGCCCUGGAUCGCACCCGGUUCCUUCCUUCCUUCGUUCUUUCAGGCAACUCGCAUUCCUCGAGCGCCUGCGACGUGCCCUGCACAGGGCCUUCCCGGCCUUCCGAGUGUGGCCCCAGGCCCGCUGGGCUCCUCCGGGAAGCCUCUGCCCUCUCGAAGUCCUUCCCCACCUCCGCCCCUCUGUUCCAUGAGGUGCUUCGCUGAGAGUCGAGCAAUUUAAUUGUUCUCUGAUUAGUUCUCCUCUUAGGGCUGUUUUGAAACUUCAUGCAAACCGGUGGGUGCUGCAGAAUUGGCCUCUUCCAGCCACAGCAGUAAUCCUGUUACGUUCUCUCUGUGAGUCUGGGAAACAUACAGACACUGGUUGAAACUUCAGCUUUGUCAUUUACCAGCUGUGCUAUCACAGGCUGGUCUGAAACUCCUGGGCUCAAGCAGUUCUCCCACAUUGGCUUCCCAAAGUGCUGGGAUUACAGGUCUGAACCACCGAACCGGGCCACAGAGUGGCAAUGUGGUUGGCAUGACCCAGUCACAGCACCCCGGGACUCUUGUCCAGCAUUGGCGCUCUAUAUGCAGAGCCCUUUCACUCAGCCUGGCAGCAUCUGAUCAGCGUCGAAGCCCAGUGGCUUGAGGAAUAAAUAUAAACAGUGCAGAGACUAAAAGCAGAGCUCUGGUCCAGCACAUCUACUCCCAAGCUCUGCCACCCUGGACAAGCUCCUUCCCCUCUCUGAGCCUCAGUCUCCUCCCUGUAAUACUGUAAGAACCCUGUCCACAGUUGUGUGCCGAUAUACUGAAUGUAAAGCACCUAAAAGCCUGCCAGGACGUGGCAGGCACUCAAGAAGCAUUACUAGAUUCAUUUCACACAUGGAGAAACUGAGUCCCAGAGUGGGAAAGUGACUCAGGCAAAGAUUCCCUCACAGAACUGGGGAUAAAAAUCCAGAUCUUCAAGCUCCCAGUCAGUGCCUAAUUACUACUUUCUCAUUCUUGGAAUUUGUAAUUAUUUCAUGACAAGUGUGCUUUUGGCUGCUGGAGGGACAGAGCUUCAGAGGUUGUGAGCCUCCCCUGGCUCAGCCUGACCCAGAACCAGCUCACUCAUGAAACUACCCUCUCUUGAAGAGAAUAGGAGUUGUGGGGAGGAAGAACAUAACCCAGAGGCCAGAGAACGUGGAGGCCAGGGUUGGUGUAACUGUGUAGGUAAGAGCAGCAGCUUCGUGAUCAGCCAGACCUGCAUUUAAAUCCUUCUCUGCCACUUCUUAGCUGUGUGACCAGCUACAUGACACCACCUCCCUGAGCCUCAGGUUUUCAUCUGUAAACUUUCAAUGCUACCUCUCCCAUAGGGUUGUUGUAGGAAUUAAAUAAGACAACAGAGGUAGAGUACCUGCUCCCAACUGGCAGCCCUUAUAAUUUCAUGAAGAGGAAGCAAAAGGGGAGCCAGCUACCUUUUUUUUUUUUUUUUUGAGACAGAGCCUCUUUCUGUCACUCAGGCUGGAGGGUGGUAGUGUGAUCUCGGCUUGCUGCAACCUCUGCCUCCUGGGUUCCAGCGAUUCUUGUGCUUCAGCCUCCUGAAUAGCUGGGAUUACAGGUGGACACCACCAUGCCAGGCUAAUUUUUGUAUUUUUAGUAGAGACGGGGUUUCACCAUGUUGGCCAGGCUGGUCUUGAACUCCUGACCUCAAGUGAUCCACCUGCCUCGGCCUCCCAAAGUGCUGGGAUUAUGGGUGUGAGCCACCGUGCCUGGCCGGAGCCAGCUACUUCUUAUCCUCAUUCUUGUGUAUAAAUCUUGUUGUAAACUUUUAAACAAUUUUUUGUUUUAUUUUUAUUGUUUAUAUUUGAGACAGGGUCUCUCUCUGUCAUCCAGGCUAGAAUGCAGUGGCAUGAUCACAACUCACUGUGACCUCGGCCUUCCAGGCUCAAGUGAUCCUCCCACCUCAGCCUCCCAAGUAGCUGGGACUACAGGUACCCAUCAUCACACCUGGCUAAUUUUUAUAUUUUUAAUGGAGACAAGGUUUUGCCAUAUUGCCCAGGCUGGUCUCUAACUCCUGGGCUGAAGCAAUCCACUUGCCUUGGCCUCCCAAAGUGCUAGGAUUACAGGUAUGAGCCACCUCACCCGUCCUUGUAAACUUUUUUUUUUUUUGAGGUGGUGUCUUGCUCUGUCGUCCAGGCUGAAGUGCAGUGGCGCGAUCUCGGCUCACUGCAACCUCCACCUCUGAGGUUCAAGCAAUUCUCCUGCCUCAGCCUCCCAAGUAGCUGGGAUUACAGGCACCCAUCACCAUGAUUUGUAUUUUUAGUAGAGAUGGGGUUUUGUAUUUUUAAUAGAGACAGGGUUUCUCCAUGUUGUCCAGGCUGGUCUUGAACUCCUGACCUCAAGUGAUCCACCCACCUUGGUCUCCCAAAGUGCUGGGAUUACAGGAGUAUGAGCCACUGCGCCUGACCCUUGUUACAAACUUUUAAUUGAACAAACAAUGGAUAAUAGAGAUGUUCUAAGAUUUGUCUAAUGAAAUGCUUUGUGUUCCCAGGCUCUUCCACAUACUAGCUGUGUGAACUUGGACAAGUGACUUAACUUCUCUUCUCCGUGUCUGCUAACAGUCCCUACACAGAUGGUUGUUGUGAGGCUUAGUUACCAUACAAAAUUCUUAGAUUAGUGCCUGGCACAUAAUAAUAACCACAGCCCCCAAAUGCUAGUUGUCAUUCAUUAUCUUAACAUACCAUGUGAAGGUUGUGUUCUCUUACAUUCUAUAGCCCUCUGUGUUUUAAUAUAAAAUUGUGAUGUCUCUCUUUCUUUUAUUUGUAUUUUUUGAGUAAAACGGACAUUUCAGAAAGAUGUACCAGAUUUUUAUCACAUGGCUUUGUGAGACCCGACAGCCAGCCAACAUCACACACAGUCACAUGUGUGCAUGCAUGAGCACACAUGCAUGCAGACACACACACUUUGAGAAGGCCAUGCUACGCCGGGCUGCUUCCCAAAUGGGCUGAAACAAGUCCUCUUGCCCUGAAGAACCGCCUGUCCCCUCUCCCGCCCACUCAUCGCGCUCCGUGGAGUGAGGCAGGAAAGGGUGAUUGGCUCACAGCAGCAGCAUAGCUCUUAGUAAACCUGACUUGGGAGAAAGGCCUGGCUCCAGCUCCUAGCCCAAGUGUCAGAGCCUGGGUCCCAGCACUGGCUCGAUGCCCUCUUUUGCUGUGCAACCCUGGCCAUGUAACUUCACCUCUCUGAGCCCCAGCUUUGUCAUUUGUGAAAGGGAGCUAACUGUUCCUACCUCUCAGGGUUAUGAGGAUUUGACAGACACAUGGAAAGUGCCUGGCACUUCGUUGUUGCUCCAUAAAUGAGAGCUCUCAAAAGUCUGGCUCAUUUUUUAGCUCAGUAAAAGCUAUCUUUCAUAGUCUUUAAUAAAAUGGGGCUGGCCGGGCGUGGUGGCUCACGCCUGUAAUCCCAGCACUUUGGGAGGCUGAGGUGGGUGGAUCACGAGGUCAGGAGAUCGAGACCAUCCUGGAUAACAUGGUGAAACCCCAUCUCUACUAAAAAAAAUACAAAAAAAUUAGCCGGGUGUGGUGGCAGGCGCCUGUAGUCCCAGCUACUCAGGAAGCUGAAGCAGGAGAAUGGCGUGAGCCCAGGAGGCG
rnacentral:lncRNA from 10 species